GACGAACGCUGGCGGCGUGCUUAACACAUGCAAGUCGUACGGUAAGGCCCUUUCGGGGGUACACGAGUGGCGAACGGGUGAGUAACACGUGAGUAACCUGCCCACAACUUUGGGAUAACGCUAGGAAACUGGGGCUAAUACUGGAUAUGUGCUCCUGCUGCAUGGUGGGGGUUGGAAAGCUCCGGCGGUUUUGGAUGGACUCGCGGCCUAUCAGCUUGUUGGUGGGGUAGUGGCCUACCAAGGCGGCGACGGGUAGCCGGACUGAGAGGGUGACCGGCCACCUUGGGACUGAGAUACGGCCCAGAUGCCUACGGGUGGAAGCAGGGCGAAAUAUUGCACAAUGGGCGCAAGCCUGAUGCAGCAGCGCCGCGUGCGGGAUAGCGGCCUUCGGGUUGUAAACCGCUUUCAGCAGGGACGAAGCUUUUUGUGACGGUACCUGCAGAAGAAGCACCGGCUAACUACGUG
rnacentral:rRNA from 1 species